rnacentral:rRNA from 1 species
GACGAACCGUGCGAACGUUAUUCGGAAUCACUGGGCUUAAAGGGCGCGUAGGCGGGCUGCCAAGUCAGAGGUGAAAUCCUGCGGCUUAACCGCAGAAGUGCCCCUGAUACUGGCAGUCUCGAGGGAGGUAGGGGCAUGUGGAACUUCCGGUGGAGCGGUGAAAUGCGUAGAUAUGGGAAGGAACGCCGGUGGCGAAAGCGAUGUGCUGGACCUCUUCUGACGCUGAGGCGCGAAAGCCAGGGGAGCAAACGGG